AUUGAACGCUGGCGGCAUGCCUUACACAUGCAAGUCGAACGGUAACAGGUCUUCGGAUGCUGACGAGUGGCGAACGGGUGAGUAAUACAUCGGAACGUGCCCGAUCGUGGGGGAUAACGAAGCGAAAGCUUUGCUAAUACCGCAUAAGAUCUACGGAUGAAAGCAGGGGACCGCAAGGCCUUGCGCGAACGGAGCGGCCGAUGGCAGAUUAGGUAGUUGGUGGGAUAAAAGCUUACCAAGCCGACGAUCUGUAGCUGGUCUGAGAGGACGACCAACCACACUGGGACUGGGACACGGCCCAGACUCCUACGGGAGGCAGCAGUGGGGAAUUUUGGACAAUGGGCGCAAGCCUGAUCCAGCCAUGCCGCGUGCAGGAUGAAGGCCUUCGGGUUGUAAACUGCUUUUGUACGGAACGAAAAGACUCUGGUUAAUACCUGGGGUCCAUGACGGUACCGUAAGAAUAAGCACCGGCUAACUACGUGCCAGCCGCCGCAGUAACAC
rnacentral:rRNA from 1 species